UACGGACGAUGCAAGCGUUAUCCGGAAUGAUUGGGCGUAAAGCGUCCGCAGGUGGCAAUGUAAGUCUGCUGUUAAAGAGUCUAGCUCAACUAGAUAAGAGCAGUGGAAACUACAUAGCUAGAGUACGUUCGGGGCAGAGGGAAUUCCUGGUGUAGCGGUGAAAUGCGUAGAGAUCAGGAAGAACACCGGUGGCGAAGGCGCUCUGCUAGGCCGUAACUGACACUGAGGGACGAAAGCUAGGGGAGCGAAUGGG
rnacentral:rRNA from 1 species